rnacentral:rRNA from 1 species
AGUGAACGCUGGCGGUAGGCCUAACACAUGCAAGUCGAACGGCAGCACAGUAAGAGCUUGCUCUUACGGGUGGCGAGUGGCGGACGGGUGGGGAAUACAUCGGAAUCUACUUUUUCGUGGGGGAUAACGUAGGGAAACUUACGCUAAUACCGCAUACGACCUACGGGUGAAAGCAGGGGAUCUUCGGACCUUGCGCGAUUGAGUGAGCCGAUGUCGGAUUAGCUAGUUGGCGGGGUAAAGGCCCACCAAGGCGACGAUCCGUAGCUGGUCUGAGAGGAUGAUCAGCGACACUGGAACUGAGACACGGUCCCGACUCCUACGGGAGGCAGCAGUGGGGAAUAUUGGACAAUGGGCGCAAGCCUGAUCCAGCCAUACCGCGUGGGUGAAGAAGGCCUUCGGGUUGUAAAACCCUUUUGUUGGGAAAGAAAAGCAGCAGGUGAAUACCACGCUGUUCUGACGGUACCCAAAGAAUAAGCACCGGCUAACUUCGUG